GUCUAUGGCCAUGCUACCCUGAACAAGGCCAAUCCCGCCUGAUCUCGGAAGCUAAGCAGGGUCAGGGUCGGGCCUGGUACUUGGAUGGAAGACCACCUAGGAAGACCAGGUGCUGUCGGCG
rnacentral:rRNA from 1 species